rnacentral:rRNA from 1 species
GUUUCAGCCGCCGCGGUAAGACGAACCGUGCGAACGUUGUUCGGAAUCACUGGGCUUAAAGGGCGCGUAGGCGGCAGCGUUAGUCCGGGGUGAAAGCCCCCAGCUCAACUGGGGAAGGGCCUCGGAUACUGCGUUGCUCGAGGGAGGUAGGGGUCGAGGGAACUUCUGGUGGAGCGGUGAAAUGCGUUGAUAUCAGAAGGAACGCCGGUGGCGAAAGCGCUCGACUGGACCUUUUCUGACGCUGAGGCGCGAAAGCUAGGGGAGCAAACGGGAUUAGAUACCCCCGUAGUCC